GGCCCCGCCAAGGCCGAGGGAAAGGCGCCUUGAGUUUUGAGAGCAAUCAACGCUAGGGUCCUUCAGGCGAAAUCGUUUGACGCCCAAGCGGGGACAAUAGGUGUCAAGCAGCUGGGUCUGGAGCUGGCAACUGCCCCUUGAAGAGCCCUUAUUUGGUGGGGGUGGGGGUUGGGGGGCAAAGGUUUCUGCAAGUAAGGGGUGCGUGGGGUGGGUGGUGCAAUCCCGGCUUCUAGAAUUCCUUCUGUAUGCAGAGCGAGCAAACUCCAUACCCCAUAACGUCUUUUGAAAACAAGACAACUCGCCGCUUCCCCACCAAACAAUCACCCAGUAACCUAGGAGUUCUCUGUAGAACGUGUCGGACACGGUCAUGGUUACCUAACACUGUAAAGGGAAUGUUCAAUGAAAUACAAAGAAAACGAUUACUUUUUUUUUCCAAGAGAAUUAUUCCAGCCUUGGAGUGGAAUGGGUGUGGACAGUGAGCAGAGAAACAAGAAACCAAGUUCUGGAAGGAAAUAAAAUGAAUAUAAUCAGUGGAAAAUUCAGCAACGCAAUAUUGUGCGACAACAGUAAAUGACCAAUUUAUAAUUUAAAUUCUAUGAAAAAGAGAUUUAGAAGAGAGUUCUACCAAGCCCACUGUUGCCUAGGGAAUGAAAUGAGUAACGCUGGCUGGCAACAGUGCAUCCGGAGGGAGCCUGGAGAAACAACAGCAGCCUCCGACCUCAAGAUAUCCUGGUUAGCUGCAAAGUCUGUUAUAUAUUCAUUGGAGUAUUUAUUGUGCACCUUACUGUGUGCUGGGAACUCUUAAGUGCUAGGGAUUAUGAGCAAAACAUAUUUACAUGGAGCUUACAUUCUAAGUAAGGGGAAGACAAGUAAGUAUAUGGCAGAUAGUGAAAUGGUAGAGAAAAGAAAAAACGGUGGUCAGGGAAAGCCUUACUGACAUUUGAGCUAGUACUGAAGGAAGCGAGGAAGAAGGCUAAGUAGCUACCUUGGAGGAAAAAUCUUUCAGGUAGAGGAAACACCAAGUACUAAGAUCUAAGAAGGCGUGUGCUUGCUGGGUUCAAGGAACAGCAUGGAAGCCAUAGUGGCAAGAGCAGAGAGUAGGAGAUGAGAUCAAACAUAUAAAAGGGGGCUGGUUGGCCCGGCGCGGUGGCUCAUUCCUGUAAUCCCAGCACUUUGGAAGGCCGAGGUGGGCGGAUCACGAGGUCAAGAGAUCGAGACCAUCCUGGCGAACACGGUGAAACCCCAUCUCUACUGAAAAUACAAAAAAAUUAGCCAGAUGUGGUGGCGGGCGCCUGUAGUCCCAGUUUCUAGGGAGGCUGAGGCAGGAGAAUGGCGUGAACCCGGGAGGCCGCGGAGCUUGCAGUAAGUGGAGAUCGCGCCACUGCACUCCAGCCUGGGCGACAGAGCGAGACUCCGUCUCAAAAAAAAAAAAAAGGGGGGGGCGGGGGGAACUGGUCUUGUAGGGCCUGAAAGACCGUGGUAAGGACUUUGGCUUUUGCUGCAUUCGAUGGGGAGUACUAGUUUCAAAAUUUAGUCACCUAAACCAUGCUUAGCACCACGCUGAGCAAUUAUGCCAGGCCUAGAGGCUAGAAAGGGAGAUGAUAAUCCUUUAGCUCCUUGCAGCUCAAAGUUUAUUCAGCCCAACCUCUCUCACUACCACUGUCACUACUAUCUUGGACUCCAUAGCAGACUUAACUGAAUCUGUAUUUUUAACAAGAUCUUCAGGAGAUUUGUGUGUACAUUAAAGUUUCAAAAAUCACUGCUUUUUUCCUCAGAACCUGACCAAUGUCUAAAGUUUUAUUGGGACACAUCCACAUCCAUCUACAUCCAUUCUAUGACUGCCUUUCUGCCAUAGCAAGGCAGAGUUGAGUAGUUGGUGUGCAACAGACAGUAAGGUGUGCAAAACCUAGAAUACUAUCUCUUCCUUUACAAAAAAAGUGUUUGCCAAUCCCUGGUUUAAAACUACAAAUGGGACCAGGUAAAGUGGCUCACGCCUGUAAUUCCAGCACUUUGGGAAGCCAAGGCUAGCAGAUCACUUGAGGUCAGGAGUUCGAAACCAACCUGGCCAACAUGGCAAAUCCUGUCUCUACUAAAAACACAAAAAAAUUUGCUGGGUGUGGUGGCGCAUGCCUAUAAUUACAGCUACUCAGGAGGUUGAGGCACGAGAACCCGGGAGGCAGAGGCUGCAGUGAGCCAAGAUCGUGCCACUGCAUUCCAGCUUGUACAAUGGAGUGAGGCUGUCUCAAAAAAAAAAAAAAAAAAGCAAAAAACAACUACAAAUGGUACACAUCUGUCACAGUUCAACAGAAUGCCCUGUUCAUAGUAGUCACUCAGCAGAUUCAUGCUGAUGCCAUAUCUCAAAUGUUGCUGAUCACUGUACCACAAGAGAACUCAGGAAUAUCUCAGUCAAUUAAAUGCUUUAGACAGGUAGAUAUGCAUCACAUCUGCUUAAAUUCAUUGGCCAGAAAGAGUCACAUGACCCUAUCUAACCAUAAGGGAGUCAAGAGAUAGUAUUCUAUCAGAUACCGGGUAGCAAGCAGGUGAACCAGAAAUAUUUGGUGAAUAUAUGUAGCUGUCACGCUUUCACUUCCUAUGUCAUCCCAAUCCCAUUUCACUGGUGUUCUGACAUUCUGUGGUUGUCUGUUCAGGUCAGCAAGUCCAGAAAGACCAAUAAAUUUAAGGCAAA